GAUGAACGCUGGCGGCGUGCCUAAUACAUGCAAGUCGAGCGAACGGACGAGAAGCUUGCUUCUCUGAUGUUAGCGGCGGACGGGUGAGUAACACGUGGAUAACCUACCUAUAAGACUGGGAUAACUUCGGGAAACCGGAGCUAAUACCGGAUAAUAUUUUGAACCGCAUGGUUCAAAAGUGAAAGACGGUCUUGCUGUCACUUAUAGAUGGAUCCGCGCUGCAUUAGCUAGUUGGUAAGGUAACGGCUUACCAAGGCAACGAUGCAUAGCCGACCUGAGAGGGUGAUCGGCCAGACUGGAACUGAGACAGGGUCCAGACUCCUACGGGAGGCAGCAGUAGGGAAUCUUCCGCAAUGGGCGAAAGCCUGACGGAGCAACGCCGCGGGAGUGAUGAAGGUCUUCGGAUCGUAAAACUCUGUUAGUAGGGAAGAACAUAUGUGUAAGUAACUGUGCACAUCUUGACGGUACCUAAUCAGAAAGCCACGGCUAACUACGUG
rnacentral:rRNA from 1 species